GAAACAGUUGCUAAGACUGGAUAGGAAAUUAAAAGGCAUCUUUUAAUUUUUAAAAGACCUUUUUCGGAAGGUAUGCUUAAAGAGGGGCUUGCGCCACAUUAGUUAGUUGGUAAGGUAAAGGCUUACCAAGACGAUGAUGUGUAGCUGGACUGAGAGGUUGAACAGCCACAUUGGGACUGAGACACGGCCCAAACUCCUACGGGAGGCAGCAGUAAGGAAUUUUUGGCAAUGGAGGAAACUCUGACCGAGCGACGCCGCGUGAACAAUGAAGUACUUCGGUAUGUAAAGUUCUUUUAUUGAAAAAGAAAAAAUAGUGGAAAAACUAUCUUGACAUUAUUCAAUGAAUAAGCCCCGGCUAAUUAUGUGCCAGCAGCCGCGGUAAUACAUAAGGGGCGAGCGUUAUCCGGAAUUAUUGGGCGUAAAGGGUGCGUAGGCGGUUUGAUAAGUCUAUAGUUUAAUUGCAGUGCUUAACGCUGUACCGCUAUAGAAACUGUCUGACUAGAGUUAGAUAGAGGCAAGCGGAAUUCCAUGUGUAGCGGUAAAAUGCGUAAAUAUAUGGAGGAACACCAGAGGCGUAGGCGGCUUGCUGGGUCUUAACUGACGCUGAGGCACGAAAGCGUGGGGAGCAAACAGGAUUAGAUACCCUGGUAGUCCACGCCGUAAACGAUGAGUACUAAGUGUCGGGUUUUGGCUCGGUACUGAAGUUAACACGUUAAGUACUCCGCCUGAGUAGUACGUACGCAAGUAUGAAACUUAAAGGAAUUGACGGGACCCCGCACAAGCGGUGGAUCAUGUUGUUUAAUUCGAAGAUACACGAAAAACCUUACCAGGUCUUGACAUAAUUUUGCGACAUUAUAGAAAUAUAAUGAAGGUUAUCAGAAUUACAGGUGGUGCAUGGUUGUCGUCAGCUCGUGUCGUGAGAUGUUAGGUUAAGUCCUAAAACGAGCGCAACCCUUGUCGUUAGUUGCGACCACAUAAUGGUGAGCACUUUAGCGAGACUGCCAAUGAAAAAUUGGAGGAAGGUGAGGAUUACGUCAAAUCAUCAUGCCCCUUAUGAUCUGGGCUACAAACGUGAUACAAUGGCUUUUACAAAGAGUAGCUACAACGUGAGUUUUUAGCCAAUCUCAAAAAAACAGUCUCAGUUCGGAUUGAAGUCUGCAACUCGACCUCAUGAAGUUGGAAUCGCUAGUAAUCGCGAAUCAGCAUGUCGCGGUGAAUACGUUCUCGGGGUUUGUACACACCGCCCGUCA
rnacentral:rRNA from 1 species